CCGCACAACCAGGGUUCGAGUUGGUUAGAGCGGUGGAUGGCAGCCCGGCCAUGGGAAACUCGAACCUCUGUAGAGUACAACGAUCGAGGUUCUGCCAGAAUCACAACGUAUGUUGUUCCCUUCUUCCCCUGCUGGUCCUAGGAGGCAUUCGGGACCUCCCAGCGUAGCCACCACUGAAGGUGCAGAAAGGAGUGAAUAAAACUGGGCCAUUGUUUCAAGCGUUUGUUUCUUUGCAACAGUAUGCAACCGGGGCAUCUCAUUGACCAUUUCUGUUGAAUAACUAGUGUAUUGUGUCCUGAGAUUGGUCAUGGUGUGAUAUUUGUUGGCAUAAACGAAUGAUAUGUGUGUUUGUAGUUUGCUGUGGAUGGCUUCUCUAAUCCAAUGUUUCUUCUAAUUAUUUCUUAAUUGAUUCUCU
rnacentral:lncRNA from 1 species